UACAGAGGUCUCAAGCGUUGUUCGGAUUCAUUGGGCGUAAAGGGUGCGUAGGCGGCGCGGUAAGUCGGGUGUGAAAUCUCGGGGCUUAACUCCGAAACUGCAUUCGAUACUACCGUGCUUGAGGACUGGAAAGGAGACUGGAAUUUACGGUGUAGCGGUGAAAUGCGUAGAUAUCGUAAGGAAGACCAGUGGCGAAGGCGGGUCUCUGGACAGUUCCUGACGCUGAGGCACGAAGGCCAGGGGAGCAAACGGG
rnacentral:rRNA from 1 species